GCGGAAGUGGUGGAAUUGGUAGACACGCUGGAUUUAGGUUCCAGUGCCGCAAGGUGUGAGAGUUCGAGUCUCUCCUUCCGCA
rnacentral:tRNA from 1 species